GUUUCCGUAGUGUAGUGGUUAUCACGUGCGCCUCACACGCGCAAGGUCCUCAGUUCCAACCUGGGCGGAAACA
rnacentral:tRNA from 1 species